GCCCUCUCAGGAUCACACCUGGAGAGUUUCCUAUCCUCUACCAGUCCUAGCUAUGGGAGGGAGAGUCAAGCAGAGGCCUACCCAUUCCAUUUCUAUUUUGGGCAGUGUCUAGCGAGUGGAAGGCAAUCUGCUACAAGU